rnacentral:rRNA from 1 species
GACGAACGCUGGCGGCGUGCCUAAUACAUGCAAGUAGAACGCAGUUGCGAACGGGUGAGUAACGCGUCGGUAACUGCCUGGUAGCGGGGGCUAACUAUUGGAAACGAUAGCUAAUACCGCAUACUACCAGAUGGACCUGCGUUGUAUUAGCUAGUUGGUGAGGUCACGGCCCCCCAAGGCAACGAUACAUAGCCGACCUGGGAGGGUGUUCGGGCACACUUGGACUGAGACACGGCCCAGACUCCUACGGGAGGGAGGAGUAGGGGAUCUUCGGAAAUGGGGGGAACCCUGACCGAGCAACGCCGCGGGAGUGAAAAAGGUUUUCGGGUCGUAAAGCUCUGUUGUUAAGGAAGCGGUACUUAACCAGAAAGGGACGGCUAACUACGUGCCAGCAGCCGCGGUAAUAC